GUGUGUUUCGACACACUAUCAUUAACUGAAUCCAUAGGUUAAUGAGGCGAACCGGGGGAACUGAAACAUCUAAGUACCCCGAGGAAAAGAAAUCAACCGAGAUUCCCCCAGUAGCGGCGAGCGAACGGGGAGCAGCCCAGAGCCUGAAUCAGUAUGUGUGUUAGUGGAAGCGUCUGGAAAGGCGCGCGAUACAGGGUGACAGCCCCGUACACAAAAAUGCACAUGCUGUGAGCUCGAUGAGUAGGGCGGGACACGUGGUAUCCUGUCUGAAUAUGGGGGGACCAUCCUCCAAGGCUAAAUACUCCUGACUGACCGAUAGUGAACCAGUACCGUGAGGGAAAGGCGAAAAGAACCCCGGCGAGGGGAGUGAAAAAGAACCUGAAACCGUGUACGUACAAGCAGUGGGAGCACGCUUAGGCGUGUGACUGCGUACCUUUUGUAUAAUGGGUCAGCGACUUAUAUUCUGUAGCAAGGUUAACCGAAUAGGGGAGCCGAAGGGAAACCGAGUCUUAACUGGGCGUUAAGUUGCAGGGUAUAGACCCGAAACCCGGUGAUCUAGCCAUGGGCAGGUUGAAGGUUGGGUAACACUAACUGGAGGACCGAACCGACUAAUGUUGAAAAAUUAGCGGAUGACUUGUGGCUGGGGGUGAAAGGCCAAUCAAACCGGGAGAUAGCUGGUUCUCCCCGAAAGCUAUUUAGGUAGCGCCUCGUGAAUUCAUCUCCGGGGGUAGAGCACUGUUUCGGCAAGGGGGUCAUCCCGACUUACCAACCCGAUGCAAACUGCGAAUACCGGAGAAUGUUAUCACGGGAGACACACGGCGGGUGCUAACGUCCGUCGUGAAGAGGGAAACAACCCAGACCGCCAGCUAAGGUCCCAAAGUCAUGGUUAAGUGGGAAACGAUGUGGGAAGGCCCAGACAGCCAGGAUGUUGGCUUAGAAGCAGCCAUCAUUUAAAGAAAGCGUAAUAGCUCACUGGUCGAGUCGGCCUGCGCGGAAGAUGUAACGGGGCUAAACCAUGCACCGAAGCUGCGGCAGCGACGCUGAUGCGUUGUUGGGUAGGGGAGCGUUCUGUAAGCCUGCGAAGGUGUGCUGUGAGGCAUGCUGGAGGUAUCAGAAGUGCGAAUGCUGACAUAAGUAACGAUAAAGCGGGUGAAAAGCCCGCUCGCCGGAAGACCAAGGGUUCCUGUCCAACGUUAAUCGGGGCAGGGUGAGUCGACCCCUAAGGCGAGGCCGAAAGGCGUAGUCGAUGGGAAACAGGUUAAUAUUCCUGUACUUGGUGUUACUGCGAAGGGGGGACGGAGAAGGCUAUGUUGGCCGGGCGACGGUUGUCCCGGUUUAAGCGUGUAGGCUGGUUUUCCAGGC
rnacentral:rRNA from 1 species